CACAUGCAAGUCGAACGGUAACAGGAAGCAGCUUGCUGCUUCGCUGACGAGUGGCGGACGGGUGAGUAAUGUCUGGGAAACUGCCUGAUGGAGGGGGAUAACUACUGGAAACGGUAGCUAAUACCGCAUAAUGUCGCAAGACCAAAGAGGGGGACCUUCG
rnacentral:rRNA from 1 species